rnacentral:rRNA from 1 species
AUGAGACUCCGGACGAAAAAAGAGGCCAUAAAAAAAGAGAGAAAGGCCAAAAAAAUGAACAAUGAGAGAAAAAGAGAGAAGGGACAAUGUUACUAUCCUUUUACCACACUUAUGCUUCAAAGUAGCACCGUGAUCUUCAUGAUAGAGAGUCUCCGAUGUUGUCACUUUCAUAUACUAGUGGGAAUUUUACAUUAUAGAACUUGGCUUGUAUAUUCCAAUGAUGGGCUUCCUCAAAAUGCCCUAGGUCUUCGUGAGCAAGCGAGUUGGAUGCACACCCACUUAGUUUCUUUUGUUGAGCUUUCAUACACUUAUAGCUCUAGUGCAUCCGUUGCAUGGCUAUCCCUACUCACUCACAUUGAUAUUUAUUGA